UACGAAGGGUGCAAGCGUUACUCGGAAUUACUGGGCGUAAAGGGCGCGUAGGCGGCCUAUUAAGUCGGACGUGAAACCCUCGGCUCAACGGGGAACUGCGUCCGAUACUGGCAGGCUUGAAUCCGGGGAGAGGGUGUGGAAUUCCAGGUGUAGCGGUGAAAUGCGUAGAUAUCUGGAGGAACACCGGUGGCGAAGGCGGCAUCCUGGACCGGUAUUGACGCUGAGGCGCGAAAGCUAGGGGAGCAAACGGG
rnacentral:rRNA from 1 species